UACGUAGGUGGCAAGCGUUGUCCGGAUUUACUGGGCGUAAAGGGCGUGCAGGCGGUUUGUUUAGUCUAGGGUGAAAGCUCCCGGCUUAACUGGGAGAGGUCCUUGGAUACUGGCAAACUUGAGGGAGGCAGAGGAAAGUGGAAUUCCCGGUGUAGUGGUGAUAUGCGUAGAUAUCGGGAGGAACACCAGUGGCGAAGGCGGCUUUCUGGGCCUUACCUGACGCUGAGACGCGAAAGCGUGGGGAGCGAACCGC
rnacentral:rRNA from 1 species